AUUAGAUACCCUGGUAGUCCAUGCCGUAAACGUUGGGCGCUAGAUGUGGGGACCAUUCCACGGUUUCCGUGUCGUAGCUAACGCAUUAAGCGCCCCGCCUGGGGAGUACGGCCGCAAGGCUAAAACUCAAAGGAAUUGACGGGGGCCCGCACAAGCGGCGGAGCAUGCGGAUUAAUUCGAUGCAACGCGAAGAACCUUACCAAGGCUUGACAUAUACCGGAAACGUUCAGAAAUGUUCGCCCCGCAAGGUCGGUAUACAGGUGGUGCAUGGUUGUCGUCAGCUCGUGUCGUGAGAUGUUGGGUUAAGUCCCGCAACGAGCGCAACCCUCGUCGUAUGUUGCCAGCACGUAAUGGUGGGAACUCAUAUGAGACUGCCGGGGUCAACUCGGAGGAAGGUGGGGAUGACGUCAAAUCAUCAUGCCCCUUAUGUCUUGGGCUUCACGCAUGCUACAAUGGCUGGUACAAUGGGCUGCAAUACCGCGAGGUGGAGCGAAUCCCAAAAAGCCAGUCUCAGUUCGGAUUGGGGUCUGCAACUCGACCCCAUGAAGUCGGAGUCGCUAGUAAUCGCAGAUCAGCAACGCUGCGGUGAAUACGUUCCCGGGCCUUGUACACACCGCCCGUCAAGUCAUGAAAGUCGGUAACACCCGAAGCCGGUGGCCUAACCUUUUGGAGGGAGCCGUCGAAGGUGGGAUCGGUAAUUAGGACUAAGUCGUAANNAAGGGUAACC
rnacentral:rRNA from 1 species